UACAGAGGUCUCAAGCGUUGUUCGGAUUCAUUGGGCGUAAAGGGCGCGUAGGCGGCGGGGUAAGUCUGGUGUGAAAUCUCGGAGCUCAACUCCGAAAUUGCACUGGAUACUGCUCUGCUUGAGGGUUGGAGAGGAGAUCGGAAUUCACGGUGUAGCAGUGAAAUGCGUAGAUAUCGGGAGGAACACCUGUGGCGAAAGCGGCGCACUGGACCACAUCUGACGCUGAGGCGCGAAAGCUAGGGGAGCAAACAGG
rnacentral:rRNA from 1 species